rnacentral:rRNA from 1 species
AUUGAACGCUGGCGGCAUGCCUUACACAUGCAAGUCGAGCGGCAGAAGGGGUGUUUGCCCUGGGUGGAGAGGGGCGCGGGGGAGAGAUGUACAGGAGACUGCGUCGUAGUGGGGGGGAAAGUCCGGAGACGGGCGGUAAUAUAGCGUAUGUGAUGAGCGGGAAAGAGGGGGGGCUUCGGACGUCACGCGAUCAGAGGAGGCUAGGUCGGAUUAGCUAGUGGGUGGGGUAAAGGCCUACCAAGGCGACGAUCCGUAGCUGGUCUGAGAGGACGAGCAGCCACACUGGAACUGAGACACGGUCCAGACUCCUACGGGAGGCAGCAGUGGGGAAUAUUGGACAAUGGGCGAAAGCCUGAUCCAGCAAUGCCGCGUGUGUGAAGAAGGUCUUCGGAUUGUAAAGCACUUUUGGUUGGGAAGAAGGCCUUUGCGCUAAUACCGUCCUGUUUUGACGUUACCGACAGAAUAAGCACCGGCUAACUACGUG